UACCUAUGAAGCGGACAGUUCUAUUCCACUGUGAAUGGUUUGAUCCUACCCCAAAUGUUGGAGUGAAAAUUCAUUUAAUGUAUAAUAUUGUGGAUGUAAAUCAAAGAAGGAGAUUUCAUAAGUAUGAGCCAUUUGUUUUGGCUAGCCAGGCACAACAAGUUUAUUACAUUCCUUAUCCUUCUUUAAGACGAGCAAGGUCUGAUUGGCAAUCUGUGAUAAAAAUUAAAGCUAGGGCAGUGAUUGAAUUACCAAAUAUUGUUGUACCAGCGACAGCGUCAACAACAGAUGCAUUUCAAGAAGAUACUGUAACUUUGCAGCCUUUAGUCUUAAAUGAGGAAGGAUUACCUGAGACAUUAAAUGAUCCAGCGGGUGGUGAAGUGUUUAUUUCAGAAUUAGUUGAAGAAGAAGAAGAAGAUGAAGAGACAUAUCAUUAUUCAACUUCAGACAAUGACGAAUAUUACUUAGAUUAGUCAACUCUAAGCUAUGUAGUAAACUUUUUUGCUCUAAUUAUCUUUUUUAUUAUUGUUGAUUAUUUUUAAUUUUACAACAUAUUAAUCUCCUUUUGUGCAGAUAGAGUGAUCGUGGUGUUUUUUUGUGCAGAUAUGGCCAGGGGUAGAGGUA
rnacentral:lncRNA from 1 species